UCUGGCUCCGGGAACAUAUAACACAAGAGGUCCUGGCAGACAGUAUUAUUGGAUCAGCAGUAGCCCAUGGAUGUGCAGCGUGCUAAUCCCCGACGAGCCCCCACAAUCUGAUGCCCAAUAUGGGCACCAGAUCGUAACCACUGCACCACUGUAACCAGUUCACGGUCCAAAUAGAUCCAAUUAGAUCUACUUUAUCUCCAUGCAGCUCUGUCUUUGGUUAGUUGCAUUCAAGUGAAGAGAGAAAACAAAGUGAUGCAGUGAACCAUUUGGACCCUCUGCUACAGAAAGUUGCCUGGAUUUUCCCUCUGUAUGGAAAAGGUUUUAUCUUUUACUUCUCUUCUGUUGGGUCACAUCAUUUUUAUUAUCAUGGAAAAUGUCUCCACUCCACAGUAAAAGUCUUUGAUUGGCACCAAAUCACAAUGUUUGGCCUCAGCAUUGUUCCACCCAGUUGUCCUAAUUUCUGUCUCUGGUCCAUUUCUGGUUCUCUGGUCGUAAAUCCAGAAAUGAAGACAUUGACGGUUUUGGUCACUUUUCCUGUUCUUGGUUUGCUCCUAUAUGUCUGUAAUGUCCAGCAGCAUCUUCAUGUCCAACCGCCUGAGCAUCCCGUCCUCUGAAAGGCUCUCUGCAGAUUAUAUGGAGGAACAAAAGUGACCAACUUACUGAGUACAUACAGUUUAUACAAAUAACACACAGGACUCAGAUUCCUCACCUCUACGGCCAAAACGGGAGGAGAUUUUAUUCACAUUAAUCAACACAUCACAUCUUUACAAAGACCCAAAAUCUCCCAACUUUUGCUGAAUACGUCACUUUUUAUAGGAUUCCAUCUCUAUUGGAGUGUCUUUAACCAGUGGCAUUACUUUUCUUCAUUUUGAGAUGGAGCAGUCAUCCUGGCUCAGUUCAUACUGUGUGUGUUGCAUAUUCUGGGAAGUGAAAUCGGCUCAGUCUCAAACGGUUCUUGUAACACUUUGUGUGACGUUAUCCUGAUCUGUCCAAACUGAACGUCUCUUCUGACUCCAGUCGGUUCUCUGCAAACAUUGUUUCCUGGUCAAAGUGACUAAAAUCUGGACCAUAACUUUUUCCUUCCAGCAUUACAAAAACAUUUCUGUCCAACAAUCACAACCUGGCAGCAGCAGUGGUUUCAAAGUUCCUGCAGAUCCAUUACUGUGGAAAUGUUUAAAAGUAAAAUACAGACAGGAUUCUUUUGCGGUUCUAAGUACAGAAAAUGAAAUUGUUAGCAUGCUAGCAAGAAUGAAAGACCAAUCACACAUUUGUAUUUUCAGGAAAAGGGCGGGUCCAACAGAAACCAGCAGCGGUCGGAUCUUAAAGUGACGCCAUGAUGGAAACAUCGAGACAAUAUCUGCUCUUUUCCUGUUUGCUGAUUUGCUGCAUAACAACUGAAGUCUCUGCAGCUGCUCUGACUGUGAGUCCCAGAAGAUCUCAGUUC